GGCUCGGUAGUUUAGUUGGUAAAGCGCUCGUCUAGCAUACAAGAGUCCUGGGUUCAAAUCCCAGCCGAGCAC
rfam:Aedes aegypti strain Liverpool supercont1.166 genomic scaffold, whole genome shotgun sequence.